rnacentral:rRNA from 1 species
UACAGAGGUCCCAAGCGUUGUUCGGAUUCACUGGGCGUAAAGGGUGCGUAGGCGGUGAGGUAAGUCUUAUGUGAAAGCUCGGAGCUCAACUCCGAAAUGGCAUAGGAAACUACCUUGCUCGAGGGUUGGAGGGGGGACUGGAAUACUUGGUGUAGCAGUGAAAUGCGUAGAUAUCAAGUGGAACACCAGUGGCGAAGGCGAGUCCCUGGACAACUCCUGACACUGAGGCACGAAAGCUAGGGGAGCAAACGGG